UGUGAAUCUGGCAAGAAAGGUGAAAGUCCUACCGAGGAGUCUAGCGACAGCUGUGGAAGAGAUGGCACCAGGAUGCACUAUGGGAAGAAGGCGAGCCAGCGGAGGAAGUAUGAUGCUCUGGGAAAUGUUCUUCUGGGAUACCUUGGGUCCUGGCAUUCAUGUGGAUGUUACUUUGACACGUACCACCUACCUAAACAUUGCUGCAGACCAAGUACACGCCUUCAUGCAUGAUCUCAAUCCGAUCGAGCUUCUCUGGGACGUGCUGGACAAACAAGUCGCAUCCAUAGAGGCCCCACCUCACAACUUAAAGGACUUAAAGGAUCUGCUGCUGACUUCUUGGUGCCAGAUACCACAGCACACCUUCGGAGGUCAUGUGGAGUCCAUGUCUCGACGGGUCAGAGCUGUUUUGGAGGCACAAAGGGGACCUACAUAAUAUAUGGCAGGUGGUUUUAAUGUUAUGGCUGAUCGGGU
ensembl:lncRNA